rnacentral:lncRNA from 1 species
CCCCUCAAAUAUAUCCAUGAUUUUUAAAAAUUUCGUCACAGACCAAUCCAAGAUCCAAACUAACGUUUGAGGACACUGAAAAACAUUCAAUCAAAUUCACAUCCAUAAAACCUGUGCAUUUUAAAAUCAUAUAUCACAUCACUCGAUAAUUCACAUUUAUGGCAACCCAAGCCAACUUGACAAACAUGAACAACAUUUAUA